CAGUAGCCGCGGUAAUACAGAGGGUGCGAGCGUUAAUCGGAUUUACUGGGCGUAAAGCGUGCGUAGGCGGCUUCUUAAGUCGGAUGUGAAAUCCCUGAGCUUAACUUAGGAAUUGCAUUCGAUACUGGGAAGCUAGAGUAUGGGAGAGGAUGGUAGAAUUCCAGGUGUAGCGGUGAAAUGCGUAGAGAUCUGGAGGAAUACCGAUGGCGAAGGCAGCCAUCUGGCCUAAUACUGACGCUGAGGUACGAAAGCAUUGGGAGCAAACAGGAUUAGAUACCCCUUAGUCCCUGUCUCUUAUACA
rnacentral:rRNA from 1 species